rnacentral:rRNA from 1 species
GAUGAACGCUGGCGGCGUGCCUAAUACAUGCAAGUCGAGCGAACAGACGUGGAGCUUGCUCCUCUGACGUUAGCGGCGGACGGGUGAGUAACACGUGGAUAACCUACCUAUAAGACUGGGAUAACUUCGGGAAACCGGAGCUAAUACCGGAUAAUAUAUUGAACCGCAUGGUUCAAUAGUGAAAGACGGUUUUGCUGUCACUUAUAGAUGGAUCCGCGCCGCAUUAGCUAGUUGGUAAGGUAACGGCUUACCAAGGCAACGAUGCGUAGCCGACCUGAGAGGGUGAUCGGCCACACUGGAACUGAGACACGGUCCAGACUCCUACGGGAGGCAGCAGUAGGGAAUCUUCCGCAAUGGGCGAAAGCCUGACGGAGCAACGCCGCGUGAGUGAUGAAGGUCUUCGGAUCGUAAAACUCUGUUAUUAGGGAAGAACAAAUGUGUAAGUAACUAUGCACGUCUUGACGGUACCUAAUCAGAAAGCCACGGCUAACUACGUG